rnacentral:rRNA from 1 species
CCUACGGGAGGCUGCAGUGGGGAAUAUUGGACAAUGGGGGGAACCCUGAUCCAGCCAUGCCGCGUGUGUGAAGAAGGCCCUCGGGUUGUAAAGCACUUUCAGUGAGGAAGAACGCCUGGUGGUUAAUACCCAUCAGGAAAGACAUCACUCACAGAAGAAGCACCGGCUAACUCCGUGCCAGCAGCCGCGGUAAUACGGAGGGUGCGAGCGUUAAUCGGAAUUACUGGGCGUAAAGCGCGCGUAGGUGGCUUGAUAAGCCGGUUGUGAAAGCCCCGGGCUCAACCUGGGAACGGCAUCCGGACCGGUCAAGUUGGGGGGCAGGAGGGGAAGGUGAAAUUCCCGGGGUAGCGGUGAAAUCGGUGGGGACCGGAAGGAAUACCAGUGGCGAAGGCGGCCUUCUGGACUGACACGGCCACGGGGGGGCGAAGGCGGGGUAGCAAACAGGAUUAGAUACCCCGGUAGUC